UACGGGGGGGGCAAGCGUUGUUCGGAAUUACUGGGCGUAAAGGGCUCGUAGGCGACCAACUAAGUCACACGUGAAAUCCCUCGGCUCAACCGGGGAACUGCGUGUGAGACUGGAUGGCUUGAGUUUGGGAGAGGAAUGCGGAAUUCCAGGUGUAGCGGUGAAAUGCGUAGAUAUCUGGAGGAACACCGGUGGCGAAGGCGGCAUUCUGGACCAACACUGACGCUGAGGAGCGAAAGCCAGGGGAGCAAACGGG
rnacentral:rRNA from 1 species